GAUGAACGCUAGCGGGAGGCUUAACACAUGCAAGUCGAGGGGCAGCAUAGGGUAGCAAUACUCUGAUGGCGACCGGCAAACGGGUGAGUAACGCGUAUGCAACCUACCCUGUACAGGGGGAUAACCCGGAGAAAUUCGGACUAAUAUCCCGUAAUAAUAUCCGGAGGCAUCUUUGGAUAUUUAAAGUUCCGACGGUACGGGAUGGGCAUGCGUAACAUUAACUGGUUGGUAAGGUAACGGCUUACCAAGGCUAUGAUGUUUAGGGGUCCUGAGAGGGUGGUCCCCCACACUGGUACUGAGACACGGACCAGACUCCUACGGGAGGCAGCAGUGAGGAAUAUUGGUCAAGUGGGCGCAAGCCUGAACCAGCCAUCCCGCGUGCAGGAAGACGGCCCUAUGGGUUGUAAACUGCUUUUCCAGGGAGAGAAACUUACGCACGUGUUGCGUGACUGACGGUACCCUGGGAAUAAGCAUCGGCUAACUCCGUGCCAGCACGCCGCGGUAAGCGACGAGAGUA
rnacentral:rRNA from 1 species